rnacentral:rRNA from 1 species
GACGAACGCUGGCGGCGUGCUUAACACAUGCAAGUCGAACGAAGUGGCGAACGGGUGAGUAAUGUAUAGAUAAUCUGCCCUACACUAGAGGACAACAGUUGGAAACGGCUGCUAAUACUCUAUAGUGUAGGAUGAGGCUAUAUUGUAUCAGCUAGUUGGUGAGGUAAUGGCUCACCAAGGCUAUGACGCAUAACUGGUCUGAGAGGAUGAUCAGUCACACUGGAACUGAGACACGGUCCAGACUCCUACGGGAGGCAGCAGUAGGGAAUAUUGCUCAAUGGGGGAAACCCAGAAGCAGCAACGCCGCGUGGAGGAUGACACUUUUCGGAGCGUAAACUCCUUUUGUUAGGGAAGCGGUACCUAACGAAUAAGCACCGGCUAACUCCGUGCCAGCAGCCGCGGUAAUAC